CCUACGGGAGGCAGCAGUGGGGAAUAUUGCACAAUGGGGGAAACCCUGAUGCAGCGACGCCGCGUGAGUGAAGAAGUCUUUAGGUAUGUAAAGCUCUAUCUGCAGGGAAGAAAAUGACGGUACCUGACUAAGAAGCCACGGCUAACUACGUGCCAGCAGCCGCGGUAAUACGGAGGGGGCAAGCGUUAUCCGGAUUUACUGGGUGUAAAGGGAGCGUAGACGGCGCGGCAAGUCUGAAGUGAAAGUCAGGGGCUUAACCCCUGAACUGCUAUUGAUACUGCCAGGCUAGAGUGCUGGUGAGGUAAGUGGAAUUCCUAGUGUAGCGGUGAAAUGCGUAGAUAUUAGGAAGAACACCAGUGGCGAAGGCAGCUUACUGGACUGUAACUGACGUUGAGGCUCGAAAGCGUGGGGAGCAAACAGGAUUAGAUACCCUUGUAGUC
rnacentral:rRNA from 1 species